UGCUUUUUGCGUUGAAAAAUGAGAGAAUCACAGACCCAGACGCUGCUUUCUACACACAGCGGACGUUACAGCUACCUCUAAUACGCCAUUCAUUGCGUUCUCUCUCUGAUCGUAGAAACCCUUUUUGCAUUGAACUCCUCUCCGUCCUCUUCCGCCCUCUGCCUCGGUUUCUCAGAAGGAAUCAGCUAAACGUCUUCUUCGUCGAUUCCGAGCACCAAAGCGGCAUUGAAUACUGUUGGGGACUCUUUCAGAGGCUAGUUUUGCCAUGGAGAGCUCUGAUGAUGAAAAAGAUGGAGUCCUUGGGAAUUACAUUCCAAAAGAACUGGCCCAUGGUUUGGCAUCUAGCGGAGCAAAAUUUGUGGAUGAAGUACUUAAUAGCCAAAGUGAACACUGCUUGGAAAAUUUUCGCAUGGAUAAGCAUGUAUUUUACAAGUUGUGUGAUAUUUUGCAAGCCAAAGGCUUGCUACGUCACACAAAUCGAAUCAAGAUUGAGGAACAAUUAGCCAUUUUCAUGUUCAUAAUCGGCCACAAUCUACGUACAAGAGCUGUGCAAGAGUUAUUCCGAUAUUCAGGGGAAACCAUCAGUCGCCAUUUCAAUAAUGUUUUGAAUGCAAUUAUGGCAAUUUCCUUAGACUUCUUUCAGCCUCCGGGUUCAGAGAUCUUGGAAGAUCCAAGAUUCUAUCCAUACUUUCAGGAUUGUGUGGGAGCAGUUGAUGGUAUCCAUAUUCCAGUUAUGGUAGGUGUAGAUGAGCAAGGACCUUUCCGCAAUAAGAAUGGCAUGCUUUCACAAAAUGUACUGGCAGCUUGCUCAUUUGAUCUCAAGUUCCAUUAUGUUCUAGCCGGGUGGGAAGGCUCAGCAUCAGAUUUACAAGUCCUAAAUUCUGCACUGACAAGGCGAAACAAACUGCUGGUCCCUGAAGGUAAAUACUACCUUGUAGACAACAAGUAUGCAAAUAUGCCAGGUUUCAUUGCCCCAUAUCCGGGUGUUCCAUAUUGCUUAAAGGAAUAUCCGAGUGGCUAUCAUCCACAAGAUGCCAGAGAGCUAUUUAAUCAACGACACUCAUUGUUACGAAAUGCCACUGAUCGGAUCUUUGGCGCUCUGAAGGCACGAUUCCCUAUAUUGAUGUCUGCACCUCCAUACCCAUUACAAACACAGGUCAAGUUGGUUGUGGCAACAUGUGCGAUACACAAUUACAUCAGGAGGGAGAAACCAGAUGAUUGGAUUUUUAGGAAGUAUGAACAGGACAGUAUGGCAUUACAAAUCGAGUCGUCAUUACCCCCCUUAGAGGUGGAACAACCCAUUAUGCACAUUGAUACCCAAGCCCUGGACAUUGGCGUUGAGGCGGAACAACUAGAAAUCACUUCACAAUUGCGCGACUCCAUUGCAACUGAAAUUUGGAAUGACUACAUCCAUGAUUUUUCAGCCAUGUAAAUCAUCUUUGGUAACAGUUUCAGGUUAGGAUUGAAAUUAUUUCAGGAUCGAGAACCAUAUGAAGAUUUUGGUUGUGAUUCCAUGCUGUACAUUGGCCCUUCUGUUCAUAGAAAGGAAAGAUAUCGGUGGCGACUGAACGGGAAGUUGAUCACAGAUUAUCCGUGCAUUACUUCUGAGAGCACAACCAAUCUGUUGAUAUUGAUUCUAAAAGUUUGAUCUUAAUUUUCUGAGGAUCAUUAACCAUCGGUGAUCCGUGUGAUGUGGGCACGUUAGACGGUUCUUGAAUUUAAUCAAGGGAAAGACAUGUUGCGAUUGCACGACUUCAGAA